GACGAACGCUGGCGGCGUGCCUAAUACAUGCAAGUUGAGCGCUGAAGGUUGGUACUUGUACCCACUGGAUGAGCAGCGAACGGGUGAGUAACGCGUGGGGAAUCUGCCUUUGAGCGGGGGACAACAUUUGGAAACGAAUGCUAAUACCGCAUAAAAACUUUAAACACAAGUUUUAAGUUUGAAAGAUGCAAUUGCAUCACUCAAAGAUGAUCCCGCGUUGUAUUAGCUAGUUGGUGAGGUAAAGGCUCACCAAGGCGAUGAUACAUAGCCGACCUGAGAGGGUGAUCGGCCACAUUGGGACUGAGACACGGCCCAAACUCCUACGGGAGGCAGCAGUAGGGAAUCUUCGGCAAUGGACGAAAGUCUGACCGCGCAACGCCGCGUGAGUGAAGAAGGUUUUCGGAUCGUAAAACUCUGUUGGUAGAGAAGAAAGUUGGUGAGAGUGGAAAGCUCAUCAAGUGACGGUAACUACCCAGAAAGGGACGGCUAACUACGUG
rnacentral:rRNA from 1 species